UAUGAUGAGGUGGAGGAGCUGCAACUUCCGUAUUGCAGUUAGGGCACGCAAAUCGUGCUAAACCAUGAGGAACAUAAACCAUAGCCUUACAGUUAACGCACGGAACUUGAACCGGUGCCGGUGGUCGUACCAGAUCUGGCGGCAACACUUGCGUCAAGUGACAUUUACGACAUACAAACUCGGUCAUCCCCGGUCCAACCGUCGAUUUCUUUCCACAACCAGCGCAACGAAAUUUGUAGUUGCCGUUAACAGAAGAAUUGUGAAGUUGCGGUGGUGGUGGUGGUGGUGGUAGUGGUUGUUGUGGUGGUGGUGGUGGUUGUGGUGGUGCGAGUGGAAGAGAAAAGAAGGUGAAAGCGGUGGCGGUUCCAUUGCUAUCGGAUAGUGUGUAUAUGUAGAGGUGAAACCGGUGGUUAUGUUUGUACGGUGUGUGUGAAGCGGUUACGGCGGCGAGUGGUGGGGGAA
rnacentral:lncRNA from 1 species